GAUGAACGCUGGCGGCGUGCCUAAUACAUGCAAGUCGAGCGAACAGACGAGGAGCUUGCUCCUCUGACGUUAGCGGCGGACGGGUGAGUAACACGUGGAUAACCUACCUAUAAGACUGGGAUAACUUCGGGAAACCGGAGCUAAUACCGGAUAAUAUAUUGAACCGCAUGGUUCAAUAGUGAAAGACGGUUUUGCUGUCACUUAUAGAUGGAUCCGCGCCGCAUUAGCUAGUUGGUAAGGUAACGGCUUACCAAGGCAACGAUGCGUAGCCGACCUGAGAGGGUGAUCGGCCACACUGGAACUGAGACACGGUCCAGACUCCUACGGGAGGCAGCAGUAGGGAAUCUUCCGCAAAGGGCGAAAGCCUGACGGAGCAACGCCGCGUGAGUGAUGAAGGUCUUCGGAUCGUAAAACUCUGUUAUUAGGGAAGAACAAAUGUGUGAGUAACUAUGCACGUCUUGACGGUACCUAAUCAGAAAGCCACGGCUAACUACGUG
rnacentral:rRNA from 1 species